rnacentral:lncRNA from 1 species
GUUCACAAAUUCCUCUUAUCGGCCAGCUUGUGUAGAGAGAGUAAAGGUAGUAAGUCCAAACUGCAGAUAGAGAGAAAAACAUCUUCAUCCAAGUAGAGAGUGAAGAGUGUUUUACUACAUGUUGAGUGUGUAGUUGUGGUUAGGUAGUAAAACAAGUGUGAGAGAGAGUUUCCUUCAAGUAGUUGUUCUUGAAGUUGUGUAUCUCUUGUACCCACAUUAUCAUAGUGGAAGUUCUUGUUGUUGCUGCUCCGUGGACGUAGGCAUCUUGCUGAACCACGUUAUAUCUGGUGUUCACUUUCCUUUACUCGUUUUAUUUCUUUGCAUAUUAUCCUUUUGUGGUUGGAGUUAUUAUUUCCAUUCUAUUAAUUUUCCCAACAGGUUGGUUCAAAUUAAAUGUUGACGGCACCAGAUUUGGUCAAAAUGGAAGAAUUGGUUGUGGGGGUCUAA